AAUUUUUCAUUUUGUUUCUAAAUUUUAUUGAGUGAAAGCAAAAAAAUGUCGGAAAUAGCUUAAAAUUUUAGAAUAAGUUUAGAUUUGUUCGAAUUGGUCACCUUUGGCACGAAUUAUGGCCUUCAAACGGCCAAUGAAACCGUCACACCCUGCCCGAAUGAUGCUCUGCGGUAUUUUAGCCCAAUCCCAGCGAAGCGAUUGCUUGAGUUGAUCGACACUUUGGUAUUUUUUUGUGCCAACCUUGCUUUCCAAAAUACUCCAGACACAAUAGUCCAACGGAUUGGUAUCCGGAGAUUUUGGUGGCCAUUGUGCGCUGGAAAUGAAGGGAGAAACCACAUUUUGUAACCAUUCUUGGGUGGCGCGUGCUGACUGAGUGCGAUGGUGCUGAGUCCUGUUGGAAUGUCCAAGGUCUGCGGUCAAAAUGCUUUAAUACACCCUCCAGAAUAUUUUCACGAUAAUAUUCGGCAUUUAUUCUGAUGCCACGAUCGAUUAAUACGAGUUGAGAGCGACCAUCGGCUAUUAUGGAGGCCCACAUCAUCGCCACCGGCGCUUGAGUUCUGAUGGCCAACCGAAGGUCCACAUUUUCAGCUGACCUCUUUGGCAAGUAAACACGAUCAUUUUGUUUGUUUACAAUUUGCUGGACACCGAAUGUUUUUUCAUCGGAGAAAACCAAAAACGGCAGUUCACCACUUUCGGCCAAGCGAAAAAACUCUUUAGCUCUUUUGAGUCUAUUUUCUUUAAGUUGCGGUGUAAGUUCUUGCACUUGUUGGAAUUUCAAUGGCUUUACCUCGGGCUCAUUUUUCAAUAUUUGCCGAAUGGAAUAUUGCGAUAUGUUCAGCUCACGAGCCAUUUUUCGCUCAAAGCGACGCGGGUGUCGAUCAAGUCGCUUCAUUACUUUUCGAAUCAUUUCUGCUGAUGUUGCUGUUUUCUUCCGUCCACUUCCUUGGCGUCGGGCUACGCUACG